GACUUCGUGGCGCAAUGGUAGCGCGUUCGACUCCAGUUUGGUUGCCAAUCGAAAGGUUGCGUGUUCAAGUCACGUCGGGGUCA
rfam:Puccinia sorghi strain RO10H11247 Scaffold_666, whole genome shotgun sequence.